rnacentral:rRNA from 1 species
ACGGAGGAUCCGAGCGUUAUCCGGAUUUAUUGGGUUUAAAGGGAGCGUAGGUGGAUUGUUAAGUCAGUUGUGAAAGUUUGCGGCUCAACCGUAAAAUUGCAGUUGAAACUGGCAGUCUUGAGUACAGUAGAGGUGGGCGGAAUUCGUGGUGUAGCAGUGAAAUGGUUUGUUAUCACGAAGAAUGCUGAUAGGUGUGGCAAUCCACGAGUAUGUGAUUGACGCUGAGUCCCGAGAGUGUGUGUUUUAGGGAG